rnacentral:rRNA from 1 species
AUUGAACGCUGGCGGCAGGCCUAACACAUGCAAGUCGAACGAGUGGCGGACGGGUGAGUAAUGUCUGGGAAACUGCCCGAUGGAGGGGGAUAACUACUGGAAACGGUAGCUAAUACCGCAUACCAGCGGAUGCGCCCAGAUGGGAUUAGCUAGUAGGUGGGGUAACGGCUCACCUAGGCGACGAACCCUAGCUGGUCUGAGAGGAUGAUCAGCGCCACUGGCACUGAUGCCCGUUCCAGACUCCUACGGUGUGCAGCGGUGGGGAUUAUUGCUCACUGGGCACAAUCCUGAUGCAGCCCAUCCGGGUGUAUGAAGAGGGCCUUCGGGUUGUAAAGUACUUUCAGCGAGGAGGCGUUACUCGCAGAAGAAGCACCGGCUAACUCCGUGCCAGCCGCCGCGGUAAUUC